AUCUUAGCUGGGUUCCAUUCUUCCUUUGUAGAGGGAACGUGGGAGAGAGUCAGCUGCGGAGAUGACGAGGGGGAAGCAGAAGAUCGAAGCGCAGAGACGGAAUGCUGAGAGAAAUCAGAAACCAAAGGGGUCUCAGCUUGAAGCGAGAGCUGUAGCUCUAAAGGCUAGCUGCCCUAUCUGCAAGGUGCAGCUAGCAAAUCAGAACCAGCUUGGUGAUCACUAUGCCUCCAAACAUCCAAAGGAAAAGCCUCCCACUGAUUCGGGCUGAUUUACAUAUCAUGAAUCAAACCUGCAGAGUGCAGGCUCGUGUUUAUUCAGAACUUGGAAUGUACCUUUAACUAUCAUUGUCUGAAUAAAAGCCACUGCAUUUCUUCUGCGUUUGUUUAUCUGGGCAGGAAAAGAUUGCUGGUUGCUUACUAUAGUACUACCUUUUUUCUUUUUUCUUUUUUUCUUUUUUUAUUUGUUUCUUUUUUCAGAGAAGUAAAUAUCUUUGGAACCAAAGUUCCGGCUCUGGAAUGUAAUGGAAAUACAGUAAGUCCAGCAUGGCAGCAGAGCUUCCACAGGGUUUGGUGGGAAACUUUAGACAAGAUAUGGACCAUGGAGGCUUUCUUGUGAUGGACUUUGUAGGUUUUGUGCUUUUAAUAUUUGUGCGAAUAUAAAGGUAAAAGUGUUGUCAUCUUGUUUCUGUUGCAUCACAAAAUUAAACUGAAUGUGGUUUGUGUUGCACCACGUGAGCUAUGCCCUAUGUAUUCAUUGUUGGGCUUUGGUCCACGGAAAGUGUUGUAUCAGACAAUACAUAAUUGUUCCUGCAACUUAGAAAACACGUUGCCUUC